GUAGGUGGCAAGCGUUGUCCGGGAAUUAUUGGGGCGUAAAGCGCGCGCAGGCGGUUCUUUAAGUCUGACGUGAAAGCCCACGGGCUCAACCGUGGAGGGUCAUUGGAAACUGGAGAACUUGAGUACAGAAGAGGAAAGCGGAAUUCCACGUGUAGCGGUGAAAUGCGUAGAGAUGUGGAGGAACACCAGUGGCGAAGGCGGCUUUCUGGUCUGUAACUGACGCUGAGGCGCGAAAGCGUGGGGAGCAAACAGGAUUAGAUACCCUGGUAGUCCACGCCGUAAACGAUGAGUGCUAAGUGUUAGGGGGUUUCCGCCCCUUAGUGCUGCAGCUAACGCAUUAAGCACUCCGCCUGGGGAGUACGGCCGCAAAGGCUGA
rnacentral:rRNA from 1 species